UGGAGUCUCUUUCACCAUCAGGGU
rnacentral:misc_RNA from 1 species